rnacentral:lncRNA from 1 species
UGAUACAGUAACGCCUGGAUUGCACCGUGUUAUUCUAGCCAGCAGCUCUUGGGUUCCCUGCGCCCUUAGGGACACAAUUAAGGCCCCAGUCUUUAGGCAAAGGUAACUAUGGUAGCCAAACAUUAGCUGUUACUGUCAGUGGAGAAAAGCCUGGUCAAGAACUAAUGAGCCAUCAGCAUCAGCCCCCGUUAUCCCGCCCAGAGGGCAUUGGCGUGAUCAGCCCGGGCGCCAGGGACACAGGCUCGCUCGCGUUCAGCUUAGCUCGGUACCAAAGCGUUAGCCAGCCAAAUCCUCCGGGGUGGGGUGGGGGAAAGACGUUCUCAUUAUCCCGCUCGGCGCUGUGGCGGAGGCAGCUGGCCUGGCUGUCCAUUAAUAGAUUACACGGAGGAUUUGAGAUUGUUAACAGGGAAGAGCGCUUUAGCUGGAUCCAUGCUGGUAAAAGGCCACUGAGGCGCGCCCCACAGCGGAGGACGCAUCCUUUAGGAGGGACCUGUACUUCUCCCCCUCCCGGUUACACAUUUUCGGACAAGGUAUCCCGGAGUCUGGAUUCCCCAGCAGCUCCUGGAACCUUUAAUUUCGAGGUGGACGGAGAAAUGGGAACUGGACUUGGAAGGAGCUGGGGCGUGGGGGAAAGAGCGUGAACAAGAUGACUCAGGAAAUUGGUAUUUGUAAAGGCGCUUUUCACCUUUAGUUCACCGGCUAAGACUCUGGCUGGGCUGGUGUUAGACAAAGUUGUUCUCCUCGGGUGGCUGUUUGGUAUUGGCUUGGAAGGAUUCGAUUUUUAUCAGUAAAUAUCGAUAAACAUCAAUUUCACACAUCCACACACACAAAAAACUAUACAUCUGUCCAUCUAUGAGGAUGGAAAGGUACCCAAAGGCAAGGUAAGAAAAAUGCUGUUUGAGAGAAAGUAUUAGAGUUUGAUUUUUAGGAUAUUUACUUUGUAUAUUUUGACAUGCGAUGUUGAGCAUUUGUGUUUCAACAGUUAAAGCUUUAAUUUUUGGAAUCUCAGCAUCCACGGUCAUGAAACAAUUGUCUGCCCCUCCCCAGCCCGUGUCUGA